rnacentral:rRNA from 1 species
CACGGGCAUGCCUUAGUACGGCGAGUGAAGCGGCAAAAGCUCAAAUUUGAAAUCUGGUACCUUCGGUGCCCGAGUUGUAAUUUGGAGAGGGCAACUUUGGGGCCGUUCCUUGUCUAUGUUCCUUGGAACAGGACGUCAUAGAGGGUGAGAAUCCCGUGUGGCGAGGAGUGCGGUUCUUUGUAAAGUGCCUUCGAAGAGUCGAGUUGUUUGGGAAUGCAGCUCUAAGUGGGUGGUAAAUUCCAUCUAAAGCUAAAUAUUGGCGAGAGACCGAUAGCGAACAAGUACAGUGAUGGAAAGAUGAAAAGAACUUUGAAAAGAGAGUGAAAAAGUACGUGAAAUUGUUGAAAGGGAAGGGCAUUUGAUCAGACAUGGUGUUUUGUGCCCUCUGCUCCUUGUGGGUAGGGGAAUCUCGCAUUUCACUGGGCCAGCAUCAUUUUUGGUGGCAGGAUAAAUCCAUAGGAAUGUAGCUUGCCUCGGUAAGUAUUAUAGCCUGUGGGAAUACUGCCAGCUGGGACUGAGGACUGCGACGUAAGUCAAGGAUGCUGGCAUAAUGGUUAUAUGCCGCCCGUCUUGACC